UUCACCUGAAGGGAAGUGUCUACUAUGUCCAUGUAGCCAUGUGGAGGCUCAUGAAAUGCUUUUCUAGUUAGAUAUUUGAAUAAAACUCAGGGGAAACAGUUUGAUAAAAUAAAUAGAACAAUAGCCAUAUAUGGAGCCUGAUAGGCCUGGGUUUAGAUCCCAGCUUUGUUACUCACCAACUCUGAGAUGUCAAGCAAGUCACUUUUAAACUCUUUGGGUUUCAGUUUCUUCAUCUGCAAAAUGGAUACAAUAGCUAUCUUCGAAGGCAAGUGUCAAAAGAGAUGCUGUAAUUUACCUGACACACCUAUUAGGAACUCACCAAAGUGGAAACAUGGAUUCAAUCCAGCGGAAAGAUGGAUGCAAUCAUCUUCCCUUUUCACACUGGGAGUCAGGGAGAACCUGGGUAAUUAAGCAACAAGAGCACAGAUUCCUAAGGACACUUAAAAAUCAAGAUUUCUUGACUAGAGGAGUAAUAGUCACAAUGAUAGCUGCUAAGACAAAAGUGUUUUAGGUACCUACUGUGUGCUAUGUUCUAGCUUUCACACUUGUGAAGGAGCUGAAAUGCUGGGGCUGUGUAAAUGCUCCCAGGUGAUAUUCUGAUUUAAAGAAGAAACAAGCU
rnacentral:lncRNA from 1 species